rnacentral:rRNA from 1 species
GGUAAUUUCGUGCAUGCCGCCGGGGUAAGACGGAUGUGUGUUGCGUUAUUCUGAAUUGCUAGACGUGCGGCGGGCGGUGGCGGGUAUGUAAGGCUGAUGAGGAAUCCCCGGGCUCAUCCUCGGAAUGGAAUCGGAUGGGGGGUAGCUAUAGGGCAGUAGGGGGAGGUGGAAUUCCAGGGGUAGCGGUGAGAUGCGUAGAGAUCUGGAGGAACACCAGUGGCGAAGUCGUCCUCCUGGUCUGACACUGACGCUGAGGUGCGAAAGCGUGGGGAUCAAACAGGAUUAGAUACCCGAUUAGUC